GAACUCUGGUAUUGAUUGGUGCUUGCAUCAUGAUUUACAUUUGAGUGAGUGGCGAACUGGUGAGUAACACGUGGGAAACCUGCCCAGAAGCGGGGGAUAACACCUGGAAACAGAUGCUAAUACCGCAUAACAACUUGGACCGCAUGGUCCGAGCUUGAAAGAUGGCUUCGGCUAUCACUUUUGGAUGGUCCCGCGGCGUAUUAGCUAGAUGGUGGGGUAACGGCUCACCAUGGCAAUGAUACGUAGCCGACCUGAGAGGGUAAUCGGCCACAUUGGGACUGAGACACGGCCCAAACUCCUACGGGAGGCAGCAGUAGGGAAUCUUCCACAAUGGACGAAAGUCUGAUGGAGCAACGCCGCGUGAGUGAAGAAGGGUUUCGGCUCGUAAAACUCUGUUGUUAAAGAAGAACAUAUCUGAGAGUAACUGUUCAGGUAUUGACGGUAUUUAACCAGAAAGCCACGGCUAACUACGUGCCAGCAGCCGCGGUAAUACGUAGGUGGCAAGCGUUGUCCGGAUUUAUUGGGCGUAAAGCGAGCGCAGGCGGUUUUUUAAGUCUGAUGUGAAAGCCUUCGGCUCAACCGAAGAAGUGCAUCGGAAACUGGGAAACUUGAGUGCAGAAGAGGACAGUGGAACUCCAUGUGUAGCGGUGAAAUGCGUAGAUAUAUGGAAGAACACCAGUGGCGAAGGCGGCUGUCUGGUCUGUAACUGACGCUGAGGCUCGAAAGUAUGGGUAGCAAACAGGAUUAGAUACCCUGGUAGUCCAUACCGUAAACGAUGAAUGCUAAGUGUUGGAGGGUUUCCGCCCUUCAGUGCUGCGGCUAACGCAUUAAGCAUUCCGCCUGGGGAGUACGGCCGCAAGGCUGAAACUCAAAGGAAUUGACGGGGGCCCGCACAAGCGGUGGAGCAUGUGGUUUAAUUCGAAGCUACGCGAAGAACCUUACCAGGUCUUGACAUACUAUGCAAAUCUAAGAGAUUAGACGUUCCCUUCGGGGACAUGGAUACAGGUGGUGCAUGGUUGUCGUCAGCUCGUGUCGUGAGAUGUUGGGUUAAGUCCCGCAACGAGCGCAACCCUUAUUAUCAGUUGCCAGCAUUAAGUUGGGCACUCUGGUGAGACUGCCGGUGACAAACCGGAGGAAGGUGGGGAUGACGUCAAAUCAUCAUGCCCCUUAUGACCUGGGCUACACACGUGCUACAAUGGAUGGUACAACGAGUUGCGAACUCGCGAGAGUAAGCUAAUCUCUUAAAGCCAUUCUCAGUUCGGAUUGUAGGCUGCAACUCGCCUACAUGAAGUCGGAAUCGCUAGUAAUCGCGGAUCAGCAUGCCGCGGUGAAUACGUUCCCGGGCCUUGUACACACCGCCCGUCACACCAUGAGAGUUUGUAACACCCAAAGUCGGUGGGGUA
rnacentral:rRNA from 1 species